rnacentral:rRNA from 1 species
UUUGGACAUGGGGGCAACCCUGNUCCAGCCAUGCCGCGUGAGUGAUGAAGGCCUUCGGGUUGUAAAGCUCUUUUGGCGGGGACGAUGAUGACGGUACCCGCAGAAUAAGCCCCGGCUAACUUCGUGCCAGCAGCCGCGGUAAGACGAAGGGGGCUAGCGUUGUUCGGAAUUACNUGGGCGUAAAGCGAGUGUAGGCGGUUAUCCAAGUCAGGUGUGAAAGCCUUGAGCUCAACUCAAGAAAUGCACUUGAUACUGGGUGACUAGAGGACCGGAGAGGAUAGUGGAAUUCCCAGUGUAGUGGUGAAAUACGUAGAGAUUGGGAAGAACACCAGUGGCGAAGGCGGCUAUCUGGACGGUUACUGACGCUAAGACUCGAAAGCGUGGGGAGCAAACAGGAUUAGAUACCCUGGUAGUCCACGCCGUAAACGAUGGGUGCUAGACGUUGGCGAGCUUGCUCGUCAGUGUCGCAGCUAACGCGUUAAGCACCCCGCCUGGGGAGUACGGCCGCAAGGUUGAAACUCAAAAAAAUUGACGA